rnacentral:rRNA from 1 species
CCUACGGGUGGCAGCAGUGAGGAAUAUUGGUCAAUGGGCGUAAGCCUGAACCAGCCAAGUCGCGUGAGGGAUGAAGGUUCUAUGGAUCUUAAACCUCUUUUAUAAGGGAAUAAAGUGCGGGACGUGUCCCGUUUUGUAUGUACCUUAUGAAUAAGGAUCGGCUAACUCCGUGCCAGCAGCCGCGGUAAUACGGAGGAUCCGAGGGUUAUCCGGAUUUAUUGGGUUUAAAGGGUGCGUAGGCGGAGUUUAAGUCAGGGGGGAAAGUUUUGGGUCCAACCAUAGAAUUGCCGUUGAAACUGGGAGUCUUGAGGAGGGUUGAGGCAGGCGGAAUGCGUGGUGUAGCGGUGAAAUGCUUAGAGAUCACGCAGAACCCCGAUUGCGAAGGCAGCCUGC